rnacentral:rRNA from 1 species
CACGUAGGUGGCGAGCGUUGUCCGGAAUCACUGGGUGUAAAGGGCGUGUAGGCGGGGUAGCAAGUCAGAUGUGAAAUUCCAGGGCUCAACCCUGGAGGUGCAUCUGAAACUGUUACUCUUGAGUACCGGAGAGGAAAGUGGAAUUCCUAGUGUAGCGGUGAAAUGCGUAGAGAUUAGGAGGAACACCAGUGGCGAAGGCGGCUUUCUGGACGGUAACUGACGCUGAGGCGCGAAAGCGUGGGGAGCGAACAGG